AUGGCUGAACGCCCCACUCCUUUUGGACAGCCACGCACAGAAACCCAUCGCCACCUGAAACCAUCGCCACCUGAAACCCACGAACAGAAAACAACCAACGCCACCACAUGGAGCUCUCCGCUCAAGGCCGCUGGUCCGAGCGCCAUCUCAGAUCCAACCCGCUCCAACACCAUCUCCAUCCACAACUCCACCUGCAGCACCCACUCCGGCAGCAACAGGAGGCAGAGCACGCCCCGUCUACUGCAGCAGCUCCCGACCGCCGCUUUUGCAGCCCACCUGGCCGAGAUUCGCUGCCUCCAUGACCGGGCGCGCCGCCCCCUCCGACAACCGCCGGGCGCUCUCAGGAGAACCGCCGCACACCAGCACCUCCUCCAAAAUCCCGCGGCCGUGCUCCGCCUCCCUGUACGCACCUCAUCGCACACCUCCACACCGGAGAGACCACCGCGUCGCCCACAUGACGCCACUCGCCCGCGCGUGGGAGGCCCGUCGGAGCGCGCUGCCAUCGCCGCCGGCGUCGACGGCCAAGGGAGCUCGGGGAGGGAGGCACUCGCGGGGCUAGCUAGGGUUAGCGCGUCCGGAGCCGCCCGCGCGAGCGGCUCGGGAGGAGGAAUCGGUCCUUAUCGAUCCGGAGAUUCAGGGAGCGGCAUGCGAGGAUCAGGACGUGGAGGACUAAAACUGGCAGACCACGGCGCGUCUGCUCGGCAGAACAUUUGA
rnacentral:rRNA from 1 species